rnacentral:tRNA from 2 species
GGCCUCGUAGCUCAAUUGGUAGAGCACUGCCCUUUUAAGGCAGGUGUUGUGGGUUCGAGCCCCAUCGAGGCCA